rnacentral:tRNA from 1 species
CGGGCAGUAGCUCAGUGGUAGAGCUCCCGCUUCGUACCCGGGAAGACCCGGGUUCGAUUUCCGGCUGCUUCC